AUGACAUCUGUAUCAACCAUGACGAGCAGCCUGGACAUCGCCCAAGCAACAGAAGCUCUAGAGCGAGACACGCAACCGUGGGACCUCACAGACUCCCCACCCCCAUCGCUGUUAAUCCAGACCCCACCAUCUCCUCCCCCCUCUCCACAGCUGCUGCAGGAUCCUACAGGAUCGGGGCUGUUUGAGGAAACCAUUAUCGACAUCAAGCUUGCAACCCACCAUCUGCUGAUGUUGGCGCUAAACGAGUUUCUACAGGAUACAUGCUACGGAUGUCAAAUAUCUCACCCCAGUCAGGUGCAACACAGCUGCUUGCUCGAAUUGCCCGAGUAUUUCUUUGACAUCUACUAUGACGAUGUGAUGAUAAGGCUCAAGACAGACCGAUUCAUCCCCGCCAUACGCCUGUUUGUGCGCUCGUACACAGUCGACGGGACUGGAACACAAUUCAGCCGGAUUGCAGAACACACCAUGACCGAACUGAGAUCAUCAGAACAUAUAGUAUGCGCAAUUAACGACAACAUUGUGCAGUUGCUAGAAGCAAGUCAUUAUGACCGACGUGCUAAACCAGCCAUGCUUCGCAUGAUUGGUAACUACUGGGCUGGGAGACACCUGGUUUAAUGUAUGCUGUUCAGUAUUCAUUGUCUGUGUGAAUGAAAUAAAAAGACGUGUUAACACCGACAGCUUUAUCAUUUGUGUCAUGCAUGCAUCAUGGAAAACACCUUGUAUAAAAUUUAUCAUGAUCCGGCCCAUCCGGCUGGAUUGGCCAGUUUAAAUAAGCUCCGUAUAGCUACCGCUGAGGCAAUAGGUGUAAAACCCUCAUUAUCACAGGUUAAACAUUAUUUAGAACGAGACGACACUUACACACUCCAUAAACCAGCUAGGAUCCACUUUCCCAGAAAUAGAGUAUUGGUUAAUGGAAUCGACAAACAGUUUCAAGCCGAUCUGGUUGAUAUGUCUGAAUACAUGACAGAUAAUGAUAAUGUUAGAUACCUGCUAACAUGUAUAGAUGUAUUCUCAAAAUAUGCAUGGGUUAGAUGUCUCACAACCAGGGGCGAUUUUAGCCCAUUUUUGGGGGUGCUUCAGCACCCCCAAAAUGAAUCAAAGCACCCCCAAAGAUUUCUUACUUUUUUUUGACAAUAUUUGCUGUUUGUGGGACACACUACUAAAAAUAUAAAAAGCAUACAGUACGUAAUUGAGAUGGAACAUUUUAACAACAAAAGUAUAGAUAACCCUCCCCCCUCCGAAAAUGGUUUGUUGCAGCUCGUCUUUCCCCUACUCUGGCUCUAGCUCCAUUGCUGCCAGAGCGAUGGUGGCUGAGACGCAGCGGAGCGGACGUGGAAGCGCCUGCCUUAAAACAGGACAUAUUAGCUGCAUUUAACCUUCAGUUACUCUUUAUAUAGUUAGGUAGGAGUCAGGCCAUGUUUCUUUUUAGCUGAAAAACAUUACACCCAGGUAACCUGCAGUGUUGAAAACGUGUUUCCCGACUAUGUUUGCUACCCUAUAAUCCGUCCUACUCUGUAGUAAAAUCAGCGAUAUUUGAUUGUCCUGUUGCUCCCAUUGAAAUUUAUAUAGCAUAUUUAAAAUCUAAAACUUAACAUUGUCCGUAGCCUGCUGUUGUUACCACUGUCCUGUUUGAAAUGUAAAUGAGAGAAACUGGUUAUUUUGUCAUAUGUGCAUGUGCCGAUAUUAAACCCAAGGUACUAACUAGCUAACUGACUGGAUGCCCAUUAACCUUAUAACUCCUGUUGUGUGUGUCUGUGUGUGUCUGUGUGUGUGUACAGAGAGAUAGCCAGGUUCAUAAUGGAUAUGAGGAAGUUUUUUCAAAAAAAGGAGCCACAUUCAGGUAAAAGUGUCAGAUCAAAUGAUCCAUCAAUAAAGGAUAAUGUUGGAUCAGUGUUUCAGUAUUUAUAUCCUUUAUUAGAUGUACAUGUGGUUUGGUUAUUUGCCUUUUGGUUGAAAGUACACUGAGAGAGGACUUUUUUUAUUAGUGAUCUUAAUAGUAUUUUAUUUAAUCUAAUUGAAUACAAUCUAUUUGUGUGUGAUUGUCAGUCCAAAGAGGGAGAGAGGAAAGAGGGGAGCAUGAGGAGAAAGUACAAGGUCAGGAAGAACCAGGUAAGAAAACAGACAGGGAACAGUGACAGGCAAAACAGAAAAUGUUAAACUGGCAAAGAAAAAAGCCCAACUAAUUUUACUCAUACAAUCUGGAAGUUGUGUUCUCCCUAUAUUAAAGCUGCUAUACAGAAUCUGCAAAACAAACUGGGUUGUCAGCCCUGGCACUGCAUUACCAUAUUGAACUUCAGUCAGAGGAAGUCACGGUUGCCAAAAACGUUUUGAAGCUCAAGAGUGAGGCUGGUGCCAUUCCAGAUAUGUUAACAUUGUACAAUAUUCUGGAUAAUCGUAUCUUCCCCACACUGAAAACUGUUAUUCAGGUUGCCCUAAUAAACCCAGUUAGCAGCUGUAGCUGUGAAAGGUCUUUUAGUGUCUUGAGUCAGCUCCAUACCUGGCUGAGAAGGACCAUGGGUCAAAGCAGACUCCAGCACCUGGCUGUGAUGUCAGUUGAGAAAGAGAUGCUUGAGAGACUUGACCACCAAAAUGUGAUAGACAGAUUUGCCAACCUCAAGCUGAGGCACAUAGGUUAAAAGAAAAGAAAAAAUCUGCAGGGCCAUAGUAGUGUCUGCAGUAAAGACCUUUUCAUACAUUGUAUACAUUGUACCAUAGGCCAAGGUGUCUCAAUUUUUCAAAUUUUUUAAUAAUAUUUUGUACAUUUCAAGGACUCUUCUAUUUUUGGAGUGUAUUUUUUAUGUAUCUGUAUUAUAUUAUACACACACAUUAAAAGUGAAUCUCUGUCCAAAAAAUGCACUCAGUUUACUUUUUACUCACUAUGAGCAUCAUUCAUUAUUCUUCCGCAGUAAUUAAGGUUAGGAUUAGAGAUGGACCGAUCCGAUAUUACGUAUCGGUAUCGGUCCGAUACUGACCUAAAUUACUGGAUCGGAUAUCGGCGAGAAAUAAAAAAUGUAAUCCGAUCCAUUAAAUAUCAAAAAAGCAGCUCACAAAACUUGCAACACGGCGUAACUCGGCUCAUAACCGUAGCACGUCGGAGCAGUGUGUGUCAUGUGAUAGAGCGGCUGUGUGUAUUUGUAGCCUCACUACCAAACCAGCAUUUCAUCUCUGAGGAAGUUAUCCCAGAGAGACGUAAAGCAAGUGUGCAAGUUCAUCUCUGAAUGUUUGUAAAGCAUUCCCGCAUUAAGCUUAACAACCAAUAUAUGGAGCGACUGCCUCUCUCUCUCCCUCUCCUGCCGCUACUUCAAUCGUGAAACUGCUUAACGAUCAGCUGAUCGGCUUUUUUGUCGCGAGUCCAUCUCUCUUCUUUGUUUUUGGCCCACUUUGCACUAGAAAGAGGAAACCAGCGGCUGAACAACAGCAGCACGUUUAAGCUUGAUAAGCUGUUGUUAGAAUUUAUUUAAUAUUACUUUCUACACCAGGAUCCUUUUCUACGUAGCUGACGGCUGGUAACUGUGCAGGGGCGGAUCUAGCAAAGUUUAGCCAGGGGGGCCGAUAGGGCAUGAACAGGGAAAAGGGGGCACAAAGACAUACUUUUCUUUCUUAUUCUCAUUUAAAAUGUCUAGCUUUUAAUAAAUAAUUAUCUGAAUCUUACACCCAAAGUUUUAAUCUGAUGUAAAAUGUAUAGAAGUCCAUUACUGUAUAUAGUAACUCUUAAGUCUAUAUACCCUAGUAAGCUAUAGUACUUUUUCCUUUGGGAAGGUACCAUCUGCGCAGUCUGCAAUUCUGUUGAAGAAAGAUGUUGAAUCUAUUUAAUUAUUCUUGAAAAAUAAUUUAUUUCUGUGCAUUUUUUUUCGCCCUGCAUCAAAUUAAAGUUGAUUACAUCAAUUAAGCAUCAUGAGGUGGAGGGUGGGGGGUGGUUCCCUAUUUUUUUUUGCUGGGAAUUUGCAACCCUAUUAGUUAGGUUGCUUAAUAUUUCUGCUAAGUACUCUUUAAAAUACCAGAAUAGGGAGGAUGGAGCAGGUUUAAGUUUAUUAGAUUGAUCAGUGUUGCUGAACUAUGAAAUAUUUUGGGUGCAGUGUAUUUUUUACAUACAGGUAUAACAGAAUAGCUUUAGUGUUGUUGUUUAUUUAAACUUGAGUAUGAACUUAUACAAAAUGCAGCAAGAUAUUAAAAAAACAGUUUUAUUGAUUAAAAAAAACACACUAUAUCGGAUUCAUAUCGGUAUCGGCAGAUAUCCAAAUUUAUGAUAUCGGUAUUGUUAUCGGACAUAAAAAAGUGGUAUCGUGCCAUCUCUAGUUAGGAUAUGUUUUUUUUUUUCAAAUUCCAAUCCAUUCUUCUUUAGCAGUAGUCGACUUUAGCAGCAUUUAAAUAACCUUUAUCAGAUUUGAUGGUUUUGUUACAAACUUUUCAAAAAAGUGUUUUGCUUUUCUUUCACAAAUGUGGGGAUUAAAUUGUGUUAAAAUGUACAAAACAGGGAUGUCAUGUUUUGUGACGAGGACCCAGGCACAGAGAGACUUGAUGAAUUUAAGAAUCUUAUGAUUUAAUAAAGAAAUUUGCAGACUUGCAUAGAGAUGGUAAAAUUAUGAUGACUGAUAACGGAGAUGAAGACAACAGACGAUAAGGACAGGGAGGAACAGGGGUUUAAAUGCACCAAGGAGACAGUCAGAGAGCACUCGGGACAACUGGAGACAUUUAAGGAUGCAGGGACUGACAGAGACAGGGAAGAAGUCUCAUCGUGACGAGUAAAGUUUACCUUGCCUGGAUGGGCAGCUCUCUGGGUGCUCAGCACCCCCAAAGCUCUGAUCCUAGAAUCGCCCCUGGUAAGUACCCAAAUCUAACAGUGUCUGUUAAUUAACCCGUUU
ensembl:lncRNA